CGGAGGAAAGAACAACAGGGAUUGCCCUAGUAACGGCGAGUGAAGCGGCAACAGCUCAAAUUUGAAAUCUGGCCUCGGCCCGAGUUGUAAUUUGCAGAGGAAGCUUUAGGCGCGGCACCUUCUGAGUCCCCUGGAACGGGGCGCCAUAGAGGGUGAGAGCCCCGUAUAGUUGGAUGCCUAGCCUGUGUAAAGCUCCUUCGACGAGUCGAGUAGUUUGGGAAUGCUGCUCAAAAUGGGAGGUAAAUUUCUUCUAAAGCUAAAUACCGGCCAGAGACCGAUAGCGCACAAGUAGAGUGAUCGAAAGAUGAAAAGCACUUUGAAAAGAGGGUUAAAUAGCACGUGAAAUUGUUGAAAGGGAAGCGCUUGUGACCAGACUUGCGCCGGGCUGAUCAUCCGGUGUUCUCACCGGUGCACUCUGCCCGGCUCAGGCCAGCAUCGGUUCUCGCGGGGGGAUAAAGGCCCAGGGAACGUAGCUCCUCCGGGAGUGUUAUAGCCCUGGGUGCAAUGCCCUCGCGGGGACCGAGGUUCGCGCAUCUGCAAGGAUGCUGGCGUAAUGGUCACCAGCGACCCGUCUUGAAACACGGACCAAGGAGUCAAGGUUUUGCGCGAGUGUUUGGGUGUAAAACCCGCACGCGUAAUGAAAGUGAACGUAGGUGAGAGCUUCGGCGCAUCAUCGACCGAUCCUGAUGUUUUCGGAUGGAUUUGAGUAGGAGCGUUAAGCCUUGGACCCGAAAGAUGGUGAACUAUGCUUGGAUAGGGUGAAGCCAGAGGAAACUCUGGUGGAGGCUCGCAGCGGUUCUGACGUGCAAAUCGAUCGUCAAAUCUGAGCAUGGGGGCGAAAGACUAAUCGAACCAUCUAGUAGCUGGUUACCGCCGAAGUUUCCCUCAGGAUAGCAGUGUUGUCUUCAGUUUUAUGAGGUAAAGCGAAUGAUUAGGGACUCGGGGGCGCUUUUUAGCCUUCAUCCAUUCUCAAACUUUAAAUAUGUAAGAAGCCCUUGUUACUUAAUUGAACGUGGGCAUUCGAAUGU
rnacentral:rRNA from 1 species